rnacentral:rRNA from 1 species
CUAGCUGUAAACGAUGGAUGCUAGGCGUUGAGAGUAUCGACCCUCUCAGUGUCGUAGCUAACGCGUUAAGUAUCCCGCCUGGGGAGUACGCGCGCAAGCGUGAAACUCAAAGGAAUUGACGGGGGCCCGCACAAGCGGUGGAGUAUGUGGUUUAAUUCGAUGCAACGCGAAGAACCUUACCAGGGCUUGACAUGUCCGGAACCCUGCCCAAGGCGGGGGUGCCUACGGGAACCGGAACACAGGUGGUGC